AGUGAACGCUGGCGGCGUGCUUAACACAUGCAAGUCGAACGAGAACGGGAUAUAGCUUGCUAUAUUUGUCAGCUAAGUGGCGCACGGGUGUGUAAUGUAUAGAUAACCUGCCCUCUAAAAAGGAAUAACAGUUGGAAACGACUGCUAAUGCCCUAUAUGCCUUUAAUACAUAAGUAUGCAAGGGAAACGCUUUAGUGCUAGAGGAUGGGUCUGUAUGGUAUCAGCUUGUUGGUGAGGUAAUGGCUCACCAAGGCUAUGACGCCUAACUGGUUUGAGAGGAUGAUCAGUCACACUGGAACUGAGACACGGUCCAGACUCCUACGGGAGGCAGCAGUGGGGAAUAUUGCACAAUGGACGAAAGUCUGAUGCAGCAACGCCGCGUGGAGGAUGACACAUUUCGGUGCGUAAACUCCUUUUAUAUAGGAAGAUAAUGACGGUACUAUAUGAAUAAGCACCGGCUAACUCCGUGCCAGCAGCCGCAGUAA
rnacentral:rRNA from 1 species